AUUGAACGCUGGCGGCAUGCUUUACACGUGCAAGUCGAACGGCAGCGCGGGCUUCGGCCUGGCGGCGAGUGGCGAACGGGUGAGUAAUGCAUCGGAACGUGCCCAGUAGUGGGGGAUAGCCCGGCGAAAGCCGGAUUAAUACCGCAUACGACCUGAGGGUGAAAGCGGGGGGCCGAAAGGCCUCGCGCUAUUGGAGCGGCCGAUGUCGGAUUAGCUAGUUGGUGGGGUAAAGGCUUACCAAGGCGACGAUCCGUAGCUGGUCUGAGAGGACGACCAGCCACACUGGGACUGAGACACGGCCCAGACUCCUACGGGAGGCAGCAGUGGGGAAUUUUGGACAAUGGGGGCAACCCUGAUCCAGCCAUGCCGCGUGCGGGAAGAAGGCCUUCGGGUUGUAAACCGCUUUUGUUCGGGAAGAAAUCCUCUGGGCUAAUACCCCGGGGGGAUGACGGUACCGGAAGAAUAAGCACCGGCUAACUACGUG
rnacentral:rRNA from 1 species